rnacentral:misc_RNA from 1 species
GUGAUGUUAAGAGGCCAGGAGGAGCCAUUGGGUCUCGGAUGGGCAUGCACAGUAAGAGGAACCGUACAAUUGGUCUUGGUGAGCAUGAACAACUCGAUCUCAUGGUGACUGAAUCAGUAAUCCGAUGGGCAUCAUGCACGCGUCUCCCAACUGCUCCAUCUCUUAGGUCUUCUCUUGUUUGUUGAAACUUGAAAGGGAGGGCUGACUGACAACCUGAAGCUAAAGAAUGUAUGUAACCGGACGCUCGGAUGGAUGAUUGAUGUGGGAGAAAUUGGCAUGCCAACGCUAGUUUCUACCAGCCAAUGUAUUUGUAAUACGUUUGUUUGUCCUGUUUUGCUGAAUCAUGGUGAGCAAGUCUUAGGCAAGCUUCUAAUGGUGGUGUGUUUUGAGUGAUGUCUUUUUGUUAUCGUCAGUUUGUCAACUACUAGGUUGCAAGAGCACCAAGCAGCGAGUAAUGGGCUGCUGCCUUGUUUAUAAAGCUGAAUUUUGUAGUAUGAAGUUUUCCGAGUUUCAUCAUUCUGUGUUCCAUGAAUGCAAGAAUGUGGUGAUUGAAUCUUCCUCUUCGUUUCCCAACAUACUUUGUGCGAAGUUGGUUGGUAAGAAAUGGUUGACUUUAUCUAUUUAUUUUUUUAACAAUGGAGAGGUAUAGGAUUCAAACUUUUUUUUUUUUUUUUUUUUUU